rnacentral:rRNA from 1 species
AAAUGAAUAGACGGGGACCCGCACAAGCAGCGGAGCAUGUGGUUUAAUUCGAUGCAACGCGAAGAACCUUACCAAGGCUUGACAUCCUCUGACCGGCGUGGAAACACGCCUUUCCUUCGGGACAGGGAGACAGGUGGUGCAUGGUUGUCGUCAGCUCGUGUCGUGAGAUGUUCGGUUAAGUCCGGCAACGAGCGCAACCCCUAUAAACAGUUGCCAAUAUUAAGUUAGGGACUCUGUUUAGACUGCCGUGGAAUAACACGGAGGAAGGUGGGGACGACGUCAAAUCAUCAUGCCCCUUACGCCUUGGGCUACACACGUGCUACAAUGGGCGCUACAAAGAGCAGCGAACCGGUAACGGUAAGCGAAUCUCAUAAAGGCGUUCUCAGUUCGGAUUGUGGGCUGCAACCCGCCCACAUGAAGAAGGAGUUGCUAGUAAUCCCGAAUCAGAAUGUCGGGGUGAAUGCGUUCCCGGGUCUUGUACACACCGCCCGU